UACGUAGGUGACAAGCGUUGUCCGGAAUUAUUGGGCGUAAAGAGCUCGUAGGCGGUCUGUUGCGUCUGCUGUGAAAACUCGGGGCUUAACCCCGAGCCUGCAGUGGAUACGGGCAGACUAGAGGUAGGUAGGGGAGAAUGGAAUUCCCGGUGUAGCGGUGAAAUGCGCAGAUAUCGGGAGGAACACCGGUGGCAAAGGCGGUUCUCUGGGCCUUACCUGACGCUGAGGAGCGAAAGCGUGGGGAGCGAACAGG
rnacentral:rRNA from 1 species